rnacentral:rRNA from 1 species
GGGCGAAAGCCUGAUCCAGCAAUGCCGCGUGCAGGAUGAAGGCCCUCGGGUUGUAAACUGCUUUUGUACGGAACGAAAAGCCUGGGGCUAAUAUCCCCGGGUCAUGACGGUACCGUAAGAAUAAGCACCGGCUAACUACGUGCCAGCAGCCGCGGUAAUACGUAGGGUGCAAGCGUUAAUCGGAAUUACUGGGCGUAAAGCGUGCGCAGGCGGUUUUGUAAGACAGUGGUGAAAUCCCCGGGCUCAACCUGGGAACUGCCAUUGUGACUGCAAGGCUAGAGUGCGGCAGAGGGGGAUGGAAUUCCGCGUGUAGCAGUGAAAUGCGUAGAUAUGCGGAGGAACACCGAUGGCGAAGGCAAUCCCCUGGGCCUGUACUGACGCUCAUGCACGAAAGCGUGGGGAGCAAACAGGAUUAGAUACCCUGGUAGUCCACGCCCUAAACGAUGUCAACUGGUUGUUGGGUCUUAACUGACUCAGUAACGAAGCUAACGCGUGAAGUUGACCGCCUGGG